UUCAUAUCAUUCCGCAAGUAGUCCGGUCAUUUAACUUAACAGACUCAUUGUAAUUUGAAGUCAGCACACUGCAAAAACUGCUUUUCUUACCUAGGCUUAUUAUUCUUAUAUUAAGAUGAAAAAAUCUAGUUGGUCUUGUUUUUAGCAAAAUUGGACUUACCUAGUGUUGUCUUGAUAAGGUUAUUUUUACCUAUGUGAAGCAAAUAUUACUUGCGCUGCCUUGAUAAGCACAUUUGAACUUAAUUUGAGUUCUUUAACACUAGAUAUGAGCACUUUAUCUUAAAAGAAUCCACUUCAAGUGUGGUAGUCUUAUUUUAAGCAAUAGUGUCAAGUUGAAAACGUUUAAUUUCAAGCAUAAAUUCACUUGUUAUUUUCUUAUUGCAUUAAAGGUCAUAAUUCAAGUUAUUUUUUAACUAGAUAUGAGUUUUAACAACCACUUAAUUUGCACCACGUAGUAAAGUGACCUAAAUCACUUAAAAAAACACAGUCAAAUAUACUUGCGAUACUUGUGGAUUACCACUGAUCACAAAAUGCUCAGUCAGAAAUGUUGUCAUAAACCACAAGUUUUCCUCAAACUCGGUGGCAGGAUCGAAUUCACUCGAACGCACCCAACACAUCUCAAACGUCGCUUGAGCUGCAUGCCAGUGAUGUGAACUGAAGCAAGUACAAGAGCUGUGCCUUUCGACUUAAAAAGCUAAAGAUGGAGCAAUUGGACAAGACAACACAGUCACUUCUGGAAGCUGCACAGGCCAUUGCCUUGUUGGAGGCGCUCCC